CGCUGGCGGUAGGCUUAACACAUGCAAGUCGUGCGAGAAAGUAUCUUCGGAUAUGAGUAGAGCGGCGGACGGGUGAGUAACGCGUAGGAAUCUACCUAGUAGAAGGGGAUAGCCCGGGGAAACCCGGAUUAAUACCGUAUACCUCCUUCGGGAGAAAGAAGGCCUCUCUUUGAAGCUUUCGCUACUAGAUGAGCCUGCGUAAGAUUAGCUUGUUGGUGAGGUAAAGGCUCACCAAGGCGACGAUCUUUAGCUGGUCUGAGAGGACGAUCAGCCACAUUGGGACUGAGACACGGCCCAGACUCCUACGGGAGGCAGCAGUGGGGAAUAUUGGACAAUGGGCGCAAGCCUGAUCCAGCCAUACCGCGUGUGUGAAGAAGGCCUUCGGGUUGUAAAGCACUUUAAGCAGGGAGAAAAAGUUAUAAGUUAAUACCUUAUAACCCUGAUGUUACCUGCAGAAUAAGCACCGGCUAAUUCCGUGCCAGCAGCCGCGGUAAUACGGAAGGUGCAAGCGUUAAUCGGAAUUACUGGGCGUAAAGCGCGCGUAGGUGGUUUGUUAAGUUGGAUGUGAAAGCCCUGGGCUCAACCUAGGAACUGCAUCCAAAACUAACUCACUAGAGUACGAUAGAGGGAGGUAGAAUUCAUAGUGUAGCGGUGGAAUGCGUAGAUAUUAUGAAGAAUACCAGUGGCGAAGGCGGCCUCCUGGAUCUGUACUGACACUGAGGUGCGAAAGCGUGGGUAGCGAACAGGAUUAGAUACCCUGGUAGUCCACGCCGUAAACGAUGACAACUAGCUGUUGGGAGACUAUGUCUUUCAGUGGCGCAGCUAACGCUUUAAGUUGUCCGCC
rnacentral:rRNA from 1 species